rfam:Stegodyphus mimosarum contig80346, whole genome shotgun sequence.
GCCUUCGUGGUGUAGUGGUCAGCACGCUGGGCGCGUAUUCUUGAGGACUGCGGUUCGAGUCCCGGCGAAGGCG